GAUGAACGCUAGCGGCAGGCUUAACACAUGCAAGUCGAGGGGCAGCGCGUGAGUAGCAAUACUUAUGGCGGCGACCGGCGCAAGGGUGCGUAACGCGUGAGCAACAUGCCCGUAUCAGGAGGAUAACCCGGAGAAAUCCGGACUAAUACUCCAUGGUUCCUUAGGGAGGCAUCUUCCAGAGGAUAAAGAUACGUCGGAUACGGAUUGGCUCGCGUGACAUUAGCUGGACGCGGGUAACGGCCCACCGUGGCGACGAUGUCUAGGGGAACUGAGAGGUUGGUCCCCCA
rnacentral:rRNA from 1 species